rnacentral:tRNA from 4 species
UGCCGGGUGGUGUAACGGCAACACUGCGGACUCUGGAUCCGUUAAUGGGGGUUCGAAUCCUCCCCCGGCAG